rnacentral:tRNA from 1 species
ACUCUUAUGGUGAAAUUGGCAGACACGGCAGAUUCAAAAUCUGCUACUUUCAACAAGUAUGUUGGUUCAAAUCCAACUAAGAGUA